UCGAGCGAAGCGAGAGAACGUUGCGUCAGCAACGGCCCGCAGGGCGAGCCACGCAGUGGCGAGUCAUCCUCUAUCACCGACCA
rnacentral:sRNA from 2 species